UUCUGAGCUGCUACAAUCUGCCAGGCACCAAGCUCAACCAUCUCUCGUGUGUGACCUCGGGACUUUUUCCUCACAUAGAAGCCCAGAGAGGUUGUGCAAUGUCACCCAGAGGUCCUCUUCAAGACCCAUGAAAAGCUGCCUCAGACAGGAAUUUACAGUCACAAGAAGGGUGCUUAAAGACAGGAUUCUCCAAGUCUGUGUCAGGCAAGGCUGAACAAAACCCCAGAGCCAAUGCUUUGAAAGGUGAAGAGGUCAAGCUGCAGUGUGGUGGUAUGCGUGCAUACCUGUUACCCCAGAACUGGGGAGGCACAAGUAGGAAUGCUGGGAGUUGGAGGCAAGCCUGGACUGCAUGGUGAGACCCAGAUUCAAAAGCAAAACAAAACAGAACAAGGCAAAACACGGACACCUGCUGAAAAGGCGCUUAGACUUCCUCCCUCAUCCCUGGCCCCCUACUCCUCCGUCCCCACACAGGCUUUGCUUACAAAAGGUUCCUUCAGACUCCAUCAUAGGUCUCCUCUAGACCAGGUGGCCUCUGAACUCCCUAUGUAGCUGAGGAUAACCUAAACCUCUAAUCCUCCUGCCUCCAUCUCCCAAGUGAUGCUUGACAGCGUACAACACCCAGCUUUGACUUAUGCAGUGCUGGGGAUGAAACCCAGGACUUUGCCCAUGCUAAGCAAGCACCCUAUCAAUUGAGCUAUCUCCCCAGCACCCUCCAGGGUCAUUUUAGGAUUCCUGAUCUCUGCAGUGCAAACAGCUGCCCCACUCUCUUACUGUUGUGUCCCGGCUAUAGGAGUCAAUCUCCUGCCUCACAGACUCUCAGACGUGCAGAUCCCGAAGUGCCCACCACUCUUCAAGAUAGUCACUCACCCAUGAGUUCCCGAUUCUUGCUCAGUGUCUCCUCACUCAUACCAGUCUGUUCAUCUACCCUGUUGCUGAGACAUUUCUUCUCUGGUAUUGGAACUGGAUUCAGACUUCUUUGGGAUUCCAAUUUAGACUGAAGACCAGAAGCUCUCCAGGAACCCUCCAGACCUCCAGCACCAGAUUGGGACUGCAGAGACAUUCAGUCUUUAUUGCUGGGCUGCCUCGACCUGCCAGCUUCUGAAUAAUGUCAUAUAGACAUAAUAAUGACAUAUUAUCUAUUAAGCUUAGACUUUAGCUGGCCACCUCUCAGCCAUCUCACCUCAUUUAGGUUAACCUGACUAUUCUAUUCCACAUCCUGGCACAUGACCUGUUACCUGUCUCUCACAUACUCAGUCUUGGCACCUGUUCCUUCUGUCUGCUGUGUCCAGUUGGUGACUCUCAAGCCUCUCAGUUCUUCCCACACUUCCCACUUCCGUCCGGAUGUUCUGCCUUUCCUUGCCGGUUUGCCUUCAGCUCUUUAUUAAGCCCGUCAGAAGGUGAUGGGGAAGAAUGUUUACAAAAUACUCAGGUAGGUGAUGUUCCAAUAAACAUAACAAUACGAAGGUCCUGGCAGACAGUACUAAACUCUCUGCUGGUACCUAAGUUAACAUUUGAAUAAUACAAAGACAACCUUUACACAGUGCACAAAAAGAUUAUCCCAAGUGUUGACUGAACAACUAUCAGAUUCCUGGCCUUUCCACCAGGAAGACAGCCAGUUUUGGACUAUAGAGGCCACCACCUGUAAGCUACUCUAAUAAGGCGUGUGUGUGUGUGUGUGUGUGUGUGUGUGUGUGUGUGUGUGUUCACUCAUCCUACCAGUUCUGCUCUUUUAGAGAACCCUAGUACAGCCCUACUCUGAGUUACUCUACAUUGUAUAAAACAGUGUUUUUAUUUUUUAUUUUUUUGACUGUGCCAUGCUCCAGGAGACUCUUUUACGAGGCGCUUCUGACUCUAUUUUGAGAACCCAGGAACGGUCUCAUCUGUCGGACACAUUUCAUCCAGCACAGACUGAUAUGUGAUUUAUUCCUGAGAGCAGAAAGGAUCUGCCCCAUAAGUCUACUUGGCCUUUCUCUUUGCAUGUGGACUCGGCUGUUUCGCUGUCAACCCUGAUUCCACAGCCUCUGCUGUGGCUCUCUCAUGACUCCUGCUGUGAUUCAUUAUCUUGUCACUGUGGACUCUCAGCCUGAAGUAGAAUAAGGCAGAACAGACCAGCUGUUAGCUGCCAGUUUUUUGCUUUAUUUAGUGACUUACUUAAAGCACGGCCUGCACUGCUUAUUUGCCAGGGAUGAUUUCACUCUCGGCCCAGAGCAGAAUGAUCUGGAUAAACCGCUGAAGCAAUGGGUCACCGUCCUUAACAACCUGCUGACUGCCUUGAACACUUCUGUAAAUUCUCGCUUGCUUGCCUGCCCCACCUUGUGGUUUUAGAGCAUAAAAUGAGAACACAAACUGGACCCUGGAUUGAAGUCUUUCUGGAGCUUCUAGUGGCCAAGGUGGCAGUAAGACACUGGACUGUAGCCUCUGAGUAGAAAUGAUGAGACUAAGUAAGGAGCUCCUGGGGACAGGCAGGAAUGCAAGCUUGACACUCCCCCCCCCCCCCCCCCAGGAAACUGCAUCUGAAGCCCCGAUGGGAGACUGAGGUGGCGCUGGUCUCCAAGGAGAAUCAGACAAAUGUAUACCUUCUGAAUGCUUGUGAUGCUCCCACAGCUCUGUGGCUACAGGAUCUGACUAGGCUCCAACUUGUAGAUCUACUGUGGUCAUUUCAACUAAAUGGGCACUUACCUUCCAUGAUAGGAGGUGAUUAGGUAUGGGGUUAUAUGAGUGACCCUUGAGCUAAGACCUCUUUUUUCUUUUUCUUUUUUUUCUUUUUCUUUUUCUUUUUCUUUUUUCUUUUA